GUACGCUGGAAUCAACAAAGAAAAAUUUCAAGGUAGACUGACUGAUUGAGUGGAUGGAAAAAGAUCGAGAAUCAAGAUGAAGAUGAAGAAAAGAAAGCUGUGGCUUUUGGUUAGAGCAAUAUUAUCAUAUGCGAGUAGUUCCUUUGUAAAGUCUCAAAAAGAGAGAACGAGUAAUUUAAAGUGCUUGUUUCAUCCAUGUAUUUAAACAACAGUUUUUAGUUUUUUUGAAAAUAUGUGUGGAUGAAAAAGUAUAUGAAAAUACAUAUAAUGUUAUUUAAAAACUGAAAA